AUGAGCCGAGACCUGGCGGGAUUACGUUCCACGGCUGACCGCGGAGGCGGCGCCGGAAAGGGAAGGCUCGGCUUUCGCUGCCGCGGGAGGCGAAGAGGCCGCCAGGAUGCCCGACGGACGGAGGGAGCUCGCCGGCUGGGCUCGGAGUGCUUGGCCCGUUCUGCUGCUGUGCCUUCCGUGUUCCGGAGCAGCUCCGGGCGCCUGCAUGGGCCGAAGUUUGCAGAAACCACAAUGCGGUCUCCCGAGUUUUCACUGCCUCCUCCCAUUCCCGACCCGGACUGGGCAGAGGGCCCCACGUGUUCCCCAAAUUGCAUGGGGCACUUACCUCCAGGUAGCAAAGCUGUUAGUGUGUUCUUUGGGCAGUGGUGCGGCAGCUGCCAGUUCUUCUUGCCCUGUUUGGGAAGUGGGUGAUAGCCCAGCAGUUCCUUUCAUAGCAGUAGGUCUGCCAGAGCUGUUUCUUCAAAGCGCUUUGCUGUUUUGAAGACAAAGAGUGGUCACAUCAAAUAUUCAUUUGAUUUAGAUUUCUUUCUUGUUUACUUUGCGUUUGGUUACUUGAUAAAAAUAAACUAUUAACACUUCUAUUUUUGAAAGCA
rnacentral:lncRNA from 1 species